UUGUGUGUUGAGGAUGAUAGUGUUAUUUUGAUGAUUAACAAGUAAUUAUCUAGAGUAUGUUAUAAGUUAAAUUGAUACUUCAUUUAUAAGUUCAUUACUCUCAGUAUAUUUGUGUGAUUGAUAAUAGAUACAUGCUUUGUUCAUUUGAAUGAAUCUAACCUUGAGAAUGCAGCAAAGUGUGGAUUGAGUCGACCCAAAGAUUGUUUGAGUCGA
rnacentral:lncRNA from 1 species